UCGGAUUGCACUUGGAGGCAGUCAGUCACUUUAAGUUAAGUCGCUCAGUCAUCUAGUUUAGUAAAGUUAACGGAAUGGAGUGGCAUAAUUAGCGAGUGAAAGUGUUAUGUGUCUCCAGCGGCAGCGUAUCAGCACAUUAAGCACGCAUGCGAUUGCAAUGUUGACAGACGUCAAAAUGGAAGGAUGGAGUUUAUGGUAAAAUUACAUGUUUUGUAAUUUCAUAAUCAUAAACUGCACUCCGUUCAAGGUCAUUAUCAAGUUUGAAAGUACUGGAGUUUGACAACCAAUCGAGAUACGAAAAGUGUUAAUUCUCGUUAACGUUCUGUUGAUGUGGCUGAAAUUUCGAAGAGAGUACAACUUGUUGGCAAAGGACAACAUUUUACUGUCAACAACUGAUGAGAUUGAAGCAAGCAAUCGGAAAAAAGCGCCAGAAUUCAUCAAGAGAAAGGGCUUCGUCUUCAAUCAGGACAACGCUAGUCCACAACACCCAUCUUUGAUAACUCGACAAAAACUGGGAGAGCUUGGCUGGGAAGUUUUGAUGCAUCCACCAUAUAGCCCUGACCUUGCACUAUCGGACUACCAUUUGUUUCGGUCAAUGCAAAACUCCCUUAAUGGAGUAAAGUUGGCUUAAAGAGAAGCCUGCGAAAAUUAUUUGUCGCGGUUUUUCGCCGAGAAACCAAACAAGUUUUACACUGAUGGAAUAAUGUCUCUGGGGAAAAAUGGCA